UACGUAGGAGGCAAGCGUUUGUCCGGAAUUACUGGGUCGUAAAGCGCGUGUAGGUGGUGGGACAAGUCUGCUGGUGAAAGCGCCUGGCUUAACCGGGCGAGUCGGCGGAAACUGUCGCACUCGAGGACGGUAGAGGGGGGUGGAAUUCCCGGUGUAGUGGUGAAAUGCGUAGAGAUCGGGAGGAACACCUGUGGCGAAGGCGGCCCCCUGGGCCGGCCCUGACACUGAGACGCGAAGGCGUGGGGAGCGAACGGGG
rnacentral:rRNA from 1 species